GUGUGUUCGACAACGACAACUGUGCCACCUCAACCAAAAGAAAAACACAAAAUUUCUGCAGGAAAAUUAAAUAAAAGAACCUGUAAAUAGUGAAAAAAGCAACAAGAUGACACUAGCAGAGUUCUUUGGAUGUGCAUUCCUCACAUUUGGUCCAGCACUAGCAAUGUUCACAUUCACAAUCGCCCACGACCCAAUGCGGAUCAUAAUCCUGCUGAUGGCCUCCUUCUUCUGGCUCGUAUCGAUGCUGCUGUCGUCCAUCGUGUGGUUCGCCGUCGUCCCGCUGCGUGAUAAACUCUUGUUUGGCAUAAUCUGUUCCGUGUUGAUCCAGGAAGCAUUCCGUUAUGGCAUUUACAUUGCUUUGCGAAAGACUGAACGCGGUCUCCGACAAGUGGCGGACGACAUUCAAAUUGUCGAGAACAAGCACACACUCGCCUAUGUCGCUGGACUCGGAUUUGGGAUCAUUUCUGGGGCAUUUUCUACUGUUAACUUGCUUGCAGACUCUGCGGGACCCGGCACAGUUGGUUUGCAUGGCGGCACAGAAAUUUUCUUUAUCACAUCGGCGGCACAAUCGCUCUGCAUGAUCUUGUUGCACGUCUUUUGGAGCGUCAUUUUCUUCAGUGGCUGCGAUCGACGGAAGUACGAACACAUAAUUUUCGUCGUUGUGGCGCAUUUGUUUGUGUCCUGCAUGACACUGUGGAAUAGUGCGGGCAAGGGAGGCGAAUGGUAUGGCUUGACGUUGCCUUUGAAUUUUGGAAUGUCGCUUGUGUGUGGCGUGAUUGCCUUCAAAAUUGCCGGAGGAUCGUCAAAAACGUUGAAACGAUUUAUCAAGUGUCAACAAUAGAUCUCUUCUUUCGGAAAUGAUGUGAAUUUAUUAUCAAUUAGAAAUUAAUUUAAUCCGUAUUUAAGUGCUUAAUAAAGUGACCAACCUUAAAAAAAUCAAUAAAAGUAAUUUUACAACGCAUGAAAUAUGGGUCAGUAGGACAACGGAA